GUUAUAUGGUCAAGAAGAGAAGCGCAAACGGUGGAUGCCUUGGCAGUAAGAGGCGAAGAAGGACGUGGAAUCCUGCGAAAAGCUAUGGGGAGCUGGAAACGAGCGUUGAGCCAUAGAUGUCCGAAUGGGGGAACCCGGCUGCAGUAAUGCGGUCAUUUGCAUUUGAAUACAUAGGAUGCAAAGGCGAACUCGGGGAACUGAAACAUCUAAGUACCCGAAGGAAAAGAAAUCAAGAGAGAUUCUCCAAGUAGCGGCGAGCGAACGGGGAGGAGCCUGGCGUGAUUUAUUAUUGAAUUGAGUAGAACAACUUGGGAAGGUUGGCCAUAGAGGGUGAAAGCCCCGUAUACGAAGGUUUGAUGAGGAACUAGGCACGCGAACAAGUAGGCCGGGACACGUGAAAUCCUGGUUGAAGAUGGGUGGACCAUCAUCCAAGGCUAAAUACUACUUACUGACCGAUAGUGAACCAGUACCGUGAGGGAAAGGUGAAAAGAACCCCGGAGAGGGGAGUGAAAUAGAAUCUGAAACCGUUUGCGUACAAGCAGUGGGAGCAUAGUUUAGGCUGUGUGACUGCGUACCUUUUGUAUAAUGGGUCAGCGAGUUACUUUCAGUGGCGAGGUUAACUGCAUAAGGGAGCCGUAGAGAAAUCGAGUCUGAAUAGGGCGAUAGUCGCUGGGAGUAGACCCGAAACCGGGCGAUCUAGCCAUGUGCAGGAUGAAGGUUGGGUAACACCAACUGGAGGUCCGAACCGGGUAAUGUUGAAAAAUUAUCGGAUGACGUGUGGCUAGGAGUGAAAGGCUAAUCAAGCCCGGAGAUAGCUGGUUCUCCCCGAAAGCUAUUUAGGUAGCGCCUCGUGAAUGAUUACUGGGGGUAGAGCACUGUUUCGGCUAGGGGGCUGUCAUGGCUUACCAAACCGAUGCAAACUCCGAAUACCGGCUAAUUGGAUCACGGGAGACACACGGCGGGUGCUAACGUCCGUCGUGGAGAGGGAAACAACCCAGACCGCCAGCUAAGGUCCCCAAGUACUAGUUAAGUGGGAAACGAUGUGGGAAGGCAUAGACAGCCAGGAGGUUGGCUUAGAAGCAGCCACCCUUUAAAGAAAGCGUAAUAGCUCACUGGUCGAGUCGGCCUGCGCGGAAGAUGUAACGGGGCUAAAACUAGUCACCGAAGCUGCGGAUGUGCGCGAAGGCGCACGUGGUAGGGGAGCGUUCUGUAGGCUGAUGAAGGUGCAUUGAGAGGUGUGCUGGAGGUAUCAGAAGUGCGAAUGCUGACAUGAGUAACGAUAAUGUGGGUGAAAAGCCCACACGCCGGAAGUCCCAGGUUUCCUGCACGACGUUAAUCGGAGCAGGGUGAGUCGGCCCCUAAGGCGAGGCUGAAGAGCGUAGUCGAUGGGAACCAGGUUAAUAUUCCUGGACUUUUUAUAAGUGGUGAAGUGGGGACGAAGAAGGCUAGGUGAGCCAGGCGUUGGUUGUCCUGGUACUUGCAUGUAGGGGGGAAG
rnacentral:rRNA from 1 species